ensembl:lncRNA
UUACAACACUGAGCAUGUCUUUGUGAGGAUACGAUUAUACUGUUCUAAGGUCUAUUUUCUGUUGUUUAAAGCAGAACAGUGAACUGCGUGUCUGUCUUCAAUGAGUAUACACUGAAAUAACAACAGGUUUUGCAAGAUAACCAAUAGCGUUGACUACGUUUUCUAGAGACACCGCUGAUUUCCCUCCGAAAGUCGAGACAUGGAAAGAAGAGAGAAUAAAGUGUCCAACGUCUCCCCACAAAAACAGACAGUGAAAAAUAGAUCCAAGUCCACAGAGGAGGUACAGCAAGCCAAAAAGGCCUUUCAUACACCACAAAAAUCUCUUCCGGCUAAACCAGAAACCGAACAACUUGAGGAGACCUCAGAACUGAGUGCCUCAUCAGAGGAGUUAAAAUGAUUGUUGGAUUCAAACUUCGGGGCUUUGAGAUUUAGACAGAUCAACCGGAAUUAUGGGUAAUAACAAGAGGAUGAUUCAGUGUCUUUACUGAAUUCAGUGUUUUACUUUGUUUAGUUCAUAUAGAAGAAAACCAACAAUAAUCAUGUGUAGCUUCUUGAAUUUGUAUGAGUCUGUUUUGUUUGUGAAAUAAAUGGAUAUCUCAGUAAAUUGUGUAUGUGAUU